AUGAAAUUCAAUUCCACAAAAGAGGCUUGGAACUUUUGGACAUGUUAUGGAGGUCAUAUUGGUUUUGAUGUAAGGAUAAAUUAUGAAAACAAGAGCAAACUCGAUGGAGUAAUCACCUCAACAAGAUAUGUUUGUUCCAAUGAGGGCUACAGAAGAAAAGACAAAAGGGAUAAUAAUACAAAGCGUCCUCGUGCAGAAACAAGGACCGGCUGCAAUGUUCGAAUGGGAAUUACUAUAGACACAGAAGCACGAAAUUAUGAGGUGCAUGAGUUAGUUGUUGAACACAACCAUGUCUUGCAAUUACCUGGGACAAGCCACUUGAUGCCAUCACAGAGGAAGAUUUCAGCCUUGCAAGCAUUUGAAAUUGAAACAGCAGAUGAUUCAGGAAUUGUACCGAGAAAAGCCCAUGAGUUUGCAAGUCGACAAGUUGGUGGUCCACUGAACCUUGGCUACACAUGUCGUGAUCGCAAGAACCACUUGCGAACCAGGCGACAAAGGGACUUGAUGUAUGGUGAAGCUGGAAGUAUGCUCAAGUAUUUUAGAGAUAAAAAGAAUGAGAAUCCUGCAUUUGAAUAUGACAUGCAACUAGAUUGCGAUGAAAAUAUAGCAAAUAUCUUUUGGGCUGAUGCAAGGAUGAUAAUUGACUAUGCUCACUUCGGUGAUGUUGUUACCUUCGAUACAACAUUUGGGACAAACAAAGAGUACAGACCCUUCGGUGUGUUUGUUGGUUUCAACCAUUUCAGAGAAAUGGUCAUUUUUGGUGCUGCACUUUUAUAUGAUGAGACAUUUGAAUCAUUCAAAUGGUUGUUCAACACGUUCCUAUCAGUGCAUAACAAAAAGCAACCAAGAACAAUCUUUACUGAUCAAGAUGUAGCAAUGGGUAAUGCAAUUCAGGCACUAUUUACCGAAGCAUGGCAUGGAUUGUGCACUUUUCACAUAAUGCAAAAUGCCAUCAGGCACUUACCUCAUAAGAAAAAAGACGAGGAUGGACCAAAUGUACUUGCUGAUUUCAGUGCUUGCAUGUACAAGUAUGAGGAAGAGGAAGCCUUUGAAGACGCUUUCAAUGCCAUAAGAAGCAAUGUGGAAACACAAACUUGGGUUGUGCAAGGAAAAAGAGAUAACGAGGUAAAUGAGGAAUAUGAGUCUAGGAAAAAAUUACCUAGAGUCAGAAUGAGGACUCCUAUGGUAAUACAAGCAAGCAAAGUUUACACGCCACACAUAUUUGAAGAUUUUCAGAAUGAAUAUGAAAGAUCCAUCUCAGCAUACAUCAAGCCAUCGGUACAACACAAUGUUUAUACUGUUGCGAUUGCAAGUCUUGACCCAGAAUUUUCAUAUGAAGAAGAGUGCAAAGUUCUUGUAGACUAUGAAGAGCAAAAGGUUCUAUGCAAUUGUGGGCAAUUUGAAAGAGUUGGUAUAUUGUGUAGUCAUGCUCUAAAAGCCCUUGACGUCAUGAAUAUUAAAUAUCUUCCAGGCCACUAUAUUUUGAAGCGAUGGACUCGAGAAGCACGAAGUGGAACUAUUCAAAACAGUCAUGGAAACAUUGUUUUGGAAGACCCUAGAUCGGAAGAUAGGCAACAGUUGAAGUUUUUCAUGCACGAUUUCCAUGGCAUAGCUUCCCAAGCAGUUGCAUCAAAAGAGUGCAUCAAACUAGUAGAUGAUGCUUUGAGGAUUCUUAGGAAGCAAGUUGAAGAAAAAACUCCUACUACUACAUGCACAACUGAAGAUAUAUCUAAAGAACCUGAGGAUUGUCUACAAGCCGCUUGCCUAAAGAAAAAAGAAAUUCUGAAGAAGAAUUCGAGACGAAAGAAAUCAUGGCUUGAC
rnacentral:rRNA from 1 species